GGACGGCAAAUUUUGGAUUUGUGUCAUGGCUCAGUUUUUAUCAUAGUGUUGUGAUAUCUGAAUAUACGGCAUUUAAAUUGUUCAUAGUUACAAAAUGAAAGGUGUAGCUGAAAAAACAUUGAAAGGCGCUUCACUUCUGUUUUUACCCGAAAUCUGAUAAUUCAAUUUCAUUGCUAUUCGAGAAUGCUGUAAAUUCGGAUCAUAAAAUGCUAUCUUUGAGAAUAGUUUUGUAGUACUUUUAGACCGCCACUGACAAUCGUUAUAACAAAAGUUAUUUUUAAGAGUCUACAUUUACAGCUGUAUCCGGUAAACGAGGACAAAUAGGUACCUAGUCAGUAAUGGAGGUUGAAUACGGGACAUUGUGAAAUAAAAAAAAUCACUGCCGAAAAUUUUUGCCAAUGUUUUUGUGUUCUUAGUUGCAUAUAUACUGGUGGUAGGACCUCUUGUGAGUCCGCGCGGGUAGGUAUCACCACCCUGCCUAUUUCUGCCGUGAAGCAGUAAUGCGUUUCGGUUUGAAGGGUGGGGCAGCCGCUCUAACUAUAAGUCGUCGUGGCCUAAGGGAUAAGACGUCCGGUGCACUCGUGUUGAGCGAUGCACCGGUGUUCGAAUCCCGCAGCCGGGUACCAAUUUUUCUAAUGAAAUACGUACUCAACAAAUGUUCACGAUUGACUUCCACGGUGAAGGAAUAACAUCGUGUAAUAAAAAUGAAACCCGCAAAAUUAUAAUUUGCGUAAUUACUGGUGGUAGGACCUCUUGUGAGUCCGCGCGGGUAGGUAUCACCACUUUGCCUAUUUCUGCCGUGAAGCAGUAAUGCGUUUCGGUUUGAAGGGUGGGGCAGCCGCUGUAACUAUACUUGAGACCUUAGAGUUUAUAUCUCAUGGUGGGUGGCGCAUUUACGUCGUAGAUGUCUAUGGGCUCCAGUAACCACUUAACACCACGUGGCCUGGGAGCUAGUAAAGCCAACUAAGCAAUACAAAAAAAAAAAACUUAAUAAUUUAAUGAGAUUCGUGGUCUAUGAAAAUUGAUGCGUUGAUGUGGAUGGCGUUCGUUAACUACGAGUAUUUUCGCUUUCGAUUGCUUUUUUUUUUUUUUUUUUUCCUACCUAAGCUGAUAGCCCUAGCGGCUAUUUCAGCGUAACCUAACUUUAGUAGGUGAGCUCACGGGGCUCAAACCUGACGAUGUUGCUAACACGAACCCUAGCAAGAGUCGUGCUUCGCAGAAUCUACCACCGGAUCGGAAACGCGACCCACUGAGAAGAUCCGGCGAGAAACUCAGUGGGCUGUGUCUGAGAGUUAAUUUACUCGUCGAGCCCUUCGUCGCAAGCGACGGGUUCGACGAGAACGGUGACCGGUGCUUGAAGUACCUAAAAGCACCGUUAGUGGAUCAGGAGGAUCCGAGAUGACGUGUUUAGGGCGACGUCGACUGCUUUCCAUUCUGUCCGCAGGAUCGGGAAUGUAGUUACCGGCGGCCACGAUGAGAGGGUUCUCGUGUCGUGCCGCUUUAUCGAAGUGGCGCAUGGACGCCGACUGAAGAUACUUACUGAUGGACUCUAAGUCCAGGUCGUCAUGGAGGUCGACGUUCCUGACGAACCACGGGGCUCCGACGGCUAUCCUGCAAAAACGGGAUUGAAUAAUUUGAAAGGAUUUUAAGUGUAUGCGGGCCGCGUGAGCGAACACUACACUUGCAUAGGUCAUGACGGGGCGUAUGCAAGUUUUGUAGAGUGUCACCUUAUUUCUAAGGGACAUUUUACUUCGCCUACAUAUCAUCGGGUAGAGGGAUAGCUUUCGAUUGCUAGUGAAACACUGCUAGCAGCGUUGUAACUAGACUAGGCUUCAAGUGGUAGAUGCAAGGCGUGUAGGGUAGAGCCUCGCGUGCUAUUUUUCCGCAACGAGCAUGUAAUGUGAUAUAAGCAGGAAAAUUUAUGUGAAAUGCACUCUUACGUAAUAUUGUCUACCGUGACGAUAUAUUCCGGACUCGGACGGUUCAGACUGUUCAGCUCACAAUAAUUAUUAGGAUUUUCGCUUGUAGCGUACUUUUAGGGUUGUGCAUGGGCACCAUAAAAAGCUGUUACGUUGUGAACUCGGUUCAGUAGAUCUAAUAGGGAUUUUUUGAUUAUAAAAUAAACUACGAUAAUUAUAAGAAAUUAAAUAUGUAUGAAGUUAUUUAAAAAAUAAAAAUUUAUUGAAACUAAAGAA